rnacentral:lncRNA from 1 species
AAAAGUUCAGCCAGAACUUUUCACGAAUACCACAAUUCUCCCCCCACCAGGUCCACGGAGGAGCUGCUAUAAACUCUGUUUACGCGCCACGCGCUGGGAACGCAGGCCAGACGUCUGAGGCGCGCGUGACGCAGGGCGACAGUCGCUCCGGCUAUAAGCUGCUCCGCGCGCGCCGCCGCGCCGCAUUCGGACUUCCUGUUGCAGCGGGGACCAGCAGCACCUGGCGCCACGUAAGAACAGCUUCCUUUAGAACGGUUCCACCACCUUCUCCGGCGGCACGUCGGGAAUUUCUCUACGACAUUAAAAAUGCUUCGGUUGGUCAUGCUGCUGUUUUUGUUACUUAAAGCUACUGCAACAAAUUCAGAAGACGGUUCAGGAAAUUUUGAUGGGGAUGAUGAGGAUGAAAUCGAAGAACAGAUAAUACGUACCGAAGGACGUCGAAACAACAUGGAGUUUCUGCCCGACACAAACAGUGCAAAAGGAGACAAUAACAAAAAUGGUGAAGACGGGUUCAUGACGAUCGUGAUUGUAGCGGCAGUCAGCGUUGUGGCACUAACUGUUGCGGCCAUCGUAGCUAUUGUGCUGUACCGGCGCUAUUUGCGCAGCAGGGAUCAAGGGAUCUACACGGUCCCCGCGGAGCAGAAUCAGAAAGUGGCCGUGUAA